UACGUAGGGUGCGAGCGUUGUCCGGAAUUAUUGGGCGUAAAGAGCUCGUAGGCGGUUUGUCGCGUCUAUCGUGAAAACUGGAGGCUCAACCUUCAGCUUGCGGUGGAUACGGGCAGACUUGAGUUCGGUAGGGGAGACUGGAAUUCCUGGUGUAGCGGUGAAAUGCGCAGAUAUCAGGAGGAACACCGGUGGCGAAGGCGGGUCUCUGGAACGCAACUGACGCUGAGACGCGAAAGCGUGGGGAGCAAACAGG
rnacentral:rRNA from 1 species